rnacentral:misc_RNA from 1 species
CAAAGGUCCCAACCACAAAUUUUCUGGACACAAGAAAUGUCUGCAUGUGCUUUGAAAUAUUUGGCCCAGUUGGUUGCUGAUGGAAUUCGAGUAGACAAAGGAUUCAAAAGCUCGCACUAUAAUCAAUGUGCUAAAGUGGUGAAGGAAAGAUUUCAUGUUCAAGUUUCUGGUUCUCAAGUUACUAAUCAUCUUAAGACAUGGAGAAGCUCGCACUAUAAGAACUACCAUUAUAUGGCUGUCAUAUUUGGGAAUCAUCAAGCAACUGGACUGUUUGCGAAAUGCACCAGUGAUCCCCUAGGUUUCGACACAUCUGAAAGUGCAGGUACAUAUGGUGUGGGUUAUUCUGGAGACUUGGCUGGUCAUGAGAGUAACAAUGCAAGUCCAACUCGUGAUAGUGGAGAAUCAUUGAACCCAAGUGGUCCAAUUCCUGAUGGUGGAGACUCAUCUACUCGAAGUGGUGCAAGAAGGAAGAGAGGGCGCAUGAUGAUGGAAGAUGAGGAUCCAUUGAUAUGCACUGUCACUUUUAAGACUCUUUCAGAUGCAAUCAAGCAGUCAGCACCACAACCACGUCCGAUAAUCCCACCCAACCUAUGGACUAUGAUGAAACAGAUUCCUGUUUUUGAAAGAGAACAUAUGUCACACCCGGUUUUAGAAGGCAAACCGAAUGCGAAC